rnacentral:rRNA from 1 species
AAAUUGAAGAGUUUGAUCAUGGCUCAGAUUGAACGCUGGCGGCAGGCCUAACACAUGCAAGUCGAACGGUAACAGAAAGAAGCUUGCUUCUUUGCUGACGAGUGGCGGACGGGUGAGUAAUGUCUGGGAAACUGCCUGAUGGAGGGGGAUAACUACUGGAAACGGUAGCUAAUACCGCAUAACGUCGCAAGACCAAAGAGG